rnacentral:lncRNA from 1 species
UAAUAUUAGAGGUGAGGCAUGAUAGCACCGAGCUGCCAUUGUUUCGUGGAUAUAUAGGACCAGUGCAGUAGUAGCAGACCAUGCCAAAUAGAAUAGCAGAACGCAUUGCUCGAGUGUCUUUGUCAGAUAAGAUUGCCACUCUUGGUUUUGGAUAAUGGACAUGGCUUUUGCUUUUUCUCUCUCUUAUUUCUUUUCCAUUCUUCCUUUCACUUUUUUCCUUACACUCUUCCAUUUGAGUUCAGACCAUAAAAAUGUUGUAUCGUUGUUGCGUUCAGCAACCUUUAAGCACUAGCAUAGCCAUCCUGCCAAUACAUAGAAAAUACUGACUAUAACUCUGUAAAAGAAAACCAUUUUACAAGCAUAUCAUUUUCUAUACAAUUCAAACAGACAACGCAUGACCUAAGCACAGGAAAUAAGCAGCAGGACUAGUACUUCUCCUCUUUAACCUUUCGUUC